rnacentral:tRNA from 1 species
GGAGAAGUGGCCGAGUGGUUGAAGGCACUGGAUUUGAAAUCCAGCGUAGGAAAUCUAUCGUGAGUUCGAAUCUCACCUUCUCCG